rnacentral:rRNA from 1 species
AUACGGAGGAUCCGAGCGUUAUCCGGAUUUAUUGGGUUUAAAGGGAGCGUAGGCGGACGCUUAAGUCAGUUGUGAAAGUUUGCGGCUCAACCGUAAAAUUGCAGUUGAUACCGGGUGUCUUGAGUACAGUAGAGGCAGGCGGAAUUCGUGGUGUAGCGGGGAAAUGCUUAGAUAUAACUAAGAACUACGAUUGCGAAGGCAGCCUGCUGGACAGAUACUGUCGCUGAUGCCCGAAAGUGACGCUAUAAAACAGGAUUCGAUACCAUGGUAGUGCAGACCGUAACCGAUGCAUAAUCGAUGUGUGCGAUAGCCAGUAAGCGCCCAAGCGAAAACGUUAAGUAUUCACCCUGGGGAGUACGCCGGCAACGGUGAAACUCAAAUGAAUUGACGUGG